rnacentral:guide_RNA from 1 species
AAAAUAAUAGAAGUUUAUGAUGGAAUAUGCUG